rnacentral:piRNA from 1 species
UAAGAACAAACAUUGUUCCAAAGCGUGGU